rnacentral:rRNA from 1 species
GACGAACGCUGGCGGCGUGCUUAACACAUGCAAGUCGAACGGAAAGGCCCUGCUUUUGUGGGGUGCUCGAGUGGCGAACGGGUGAGUAACACGUGAGUAACCUGCCCUUGACUUUGGGAUAACUUCAGGAAACUGGGGCUAAUACCGGAUAGGAGCUCCUGCUGCAUGGUGGGGGUUGGAAAGUUUCAGCGGUUGGGGAUGGACUCGCGGCUUAUCAGCUUGUUGGUGGGGUAGUGGCUUACCAAGGCUUUGACGGGUAGCCGGCCUGAGAGGGUGACCGGCCACAUUGGGACUGAGAUACGGCCCAGACUCCUACGGGAGGCAGCAGUGGGGAAUAUUGCACAAUGGGCGGAAGCCUGAUGCAGCAACGCCGCGUGCGGGAUGACGGCCUUCGGGUUGUAAACCGCUUUCGCCUGUGACGAAGCGUGAGUGACGGUAAUGGGUAAAGAAGCACCGGCUAACUACGUGCCAGCAGCCGCGGUGAUACGUAGGGUGCGAGCGUUGUCCGGAUUUAUUGGGCGUAAAGGGCUCGUAGGUGGUUGAUCGCGUCGGAAGUGUAAUCUUGGGGCUUAAUCCUGAGCGUGCCUUCGAUACGGGUUGACUUGAGGAAGGUAGGGGAGAAUGGAAUUCCUGGUGGAGCGGUGGAAUGCGCAGAUAUCAGGAGGAACACCAGUGGCGAAGGCGGUUCUCUGGGCCUUUCCUGACGCUGAGGAGCGAAAGCGUGGGGAGCGAACAGGCUUAGAUACCCUGGUAGUCCACGCUGUAAACGGUGGGUACUAGGUGUGGGGUCCAUUCCACGGGUUCCGUGCCGUAGCUAACGCUUUAAGUACCCCGCCUGGGGAGUACGGCCGCAAGGCUAAAACUCAAAGGAAUUGACGGGGCCCCGCACAAGCGGCGGAGCAUGCGGAUUAAUUCGAUGCAACGCGUAGAACCUUACCUGGGUUUGACAUGGAUCGGGAGUGCUCAGAGAUGGGUGUGCCUCUUUUGGGGUCGGUUCACAGGUGGUGCAUGGCUGUCGUCAGCUCGUGUCGUGAGAUGUUGGGUUAAGUCCCGCAACGAGCGCAACCCUUGUUCACUGUUGCCAGCACGUUAUGGUGGGGACUCAGUGGAGACCGCCGGGGUCAACUCGGAGGAAGGUGGGGAUGACGUCAAGUCAUCAUGCCCCUUAUGUCCAGGGCUUCACGCAUGCUACAAUGGCUGGUACAGAGAGUGGCGAGCCUGUGAGGGUGAGCGAAUCUCGGAAAGCCGGUCUCAGUUCGGAUUGGGGUCUGCAACUCGACCUCAUGAAGUCGGAGUCGCUAGUAAUCGCAGAUCAGCAACGCUGCGGUGAAUACGUUCCCGGG